rnacentral:lncRNA from 1 species
CCUGAGUCGCUGACAGGGGCGGAGAAGUCUAGGGGGCCUGUCCUGCUGUCAGCGCCCAUGAUGGAUGAGGGGCCAGAGCUAGACUCCUGCCACAGGGGGAGGUGGGGGUGACCCCCCAGGGUCUGCAGGCAGAGCCUCUGCCUCUCACAGCUGGGGGGCCUGGGCGAGGGUCCCCACCCAGCCAGGGGUGUUUAAAGGCCCAAAGGGCGUGGGCCCUCCCACUCUGCCUAGAGUCAUGGGCGCCUGGGCCUUCCCCGCAGCCCUUUUCCUUCUCUGCCUGACUUCCGAGAGCCUGCAAGGGCUGCCCCUUCUGCCUCCUGGCCUGGGGAAAGGUAGGUGGGCCCUCUGGCACUGGGGUCAGGAAGAGUCUCCCAUCUCUCCUGCCCUGGGGGUGUGGGAGCUCUCUGGGACUCCCGAUGCGGGGCCCAGGAGAGCUCAGGGCCCUUGCUGUCUUCCGGGCAGGGAGUCUCAUCAAGUGUCCACUCAAGGGUGGGGAGCACAGACACCCUGCACUCUCAGAAGAGUCUCCCGGGGCAGAACAUGCAGCCCUGAGGACGGGCCUGGGCAGGCUGAGAAGGGUGG